rnacentral:rRNA from 1 species
UUCCGGUUGAUCCUGCCGGAGGCUACCGCUAUCGGAGUCCGAUUUAGCCAUGCUAGUCUACCGGGCUUGCCCGGGGCAGACAGCUGAGUAACAUGUGGCUAACCUACCCUAUGGACAGGGAUAACCUCGCUAACGUGAGGCUAAUACCUGAUAUCAGAGGAAAACAGGAAAGUUUUCUCUGUGAAAUGUUCCGACGCCAUAGGAUGGGGCCGCAGCUGAUUAGGUUGUUGGUGAGGUAAAGGCUCACCAAGCCGAUAAUCAGUAGUAGUCGUGAGAGCGAGAGCUACCAGUUGGCUUCUGAGACAAGAAGCCAGACCCUACGGGGUGCAGCAGGCACGAAACCUUCACAAUGCACGAAAGUGCGAUGGGGGGACUCCGAGUGUAAUCUUCCUACAAGGAAGGUUACUUUUCUGCACUGUAAGGAGGUGCCGGAACAAGGGGUGGGCAACACUGCUGCCAGCCGCCGCG